GAUGAACGCUGGCGGCGUGCUUAACACAUGCAAGUCGAACGAUGAAGCCCAGCUUGCUGGGUGGAUUAGUGGCGAACGGGUGAGUAACACGUGAGUAACCUGCCCUUAACUCUGGGAUAAGCCUGGGAAACUGGGUCUAAUACCGGAUAGGAGCGUCCACCGCAUGGUGGGUGUUGGAAAGAUUUAUCGGUUUUGGAUGGACUCGCGGCCUAUCAGCUUGUUGGUGAGGUAAUGGCUCACCAAGGCGACGACGGGUAGCCGGCCUGAGAGGGUGACCGGCCACACUGGGACUGAGACACGGCCCAGACUCCUACGGGAGGCAGCAGUGGGGAAUAUUGCACAACGGGCGCAAGCCUGAUGCAGCGACGCCGCGUGAGGGAUGACGGCCUUCGGGUUGUAAACCUCUUUCAGUAGGGAAGAAGCGAAAGUGACGGUACCUGCAGAAGAAGCACCGGCUAACUACGUG
rnacentral:rRNA from 1 species